AGGGUUGUAGCUCAGUGGUAGAGCAUCAGCUUUAAAUGCAGAAGGUUCCAGGUUCAAUCCCUGUCAUCUCCA